rnacentral:rRNA from 1 species
AUACGGAGGGGGCUAGCGUUGUUCGGAAUUACUGGGCGUAAAGCGCGCGUAGGCGGCUUAUCAAGUUAGGCGUGAAAGGCCUGGGCUCAACCCGGGAACUGCGCUUAAUACUGGUAGACUUGAGUCCGGGAGAGGGUGGCGGAAUUCCCAGUGUAGAGGUGAAAUUCGUAGAUAUUGGGAAGAACACCAGUGGCGAAGGCGGCCACCUGGCCCGGUACUGACGCUGAGGUGCGAAAGCGUGGGGAGCAUACAGGAUUAGAAACCCCAGUAGUCC